UACCUGCAGCUCAAGUGGUGAUCACUAUUAUUGGGCCUAAAACGUCCGUAGCCGGUUUAUUAAAUGCCUGGGUAAAUCGUGUAGCUUAACUAUACGAAUUCCGGGUAGACUGUUAAACUUGAGACCGGGAGAAGCUAGAGGUACUCCUGGGGUAGAGGUGAAAUUCUGUAAUCCUAGGGGGACCACCAGUGGCGAAGGCGUCUAGCUAGAACGGGUCUGACGGUGAGGGACGAAGCCCUGGGGCACAAACCGGAUUAGAUACCCGGGUAGUCCAGGGUGUAAACGCUGCUUGCUUGAUGUUAGUUGGGCUCCGAGCCCAGCUAGUGUCGGAGAGAAGUUGUUAAGCAAGCUGCCUGGGAAGUACGGUCGCAAGGCUGAAACUUAAAGGAAUUGGCGGGGGAGCACAGCAACGGGUGGAGCGUGCGGUUU
rnacentral:rRNA from 1 species